GAGACCCUUCCUCAAUCAGGAUUUGUACGUCGCAAUGUUGAGUAAGAAAAUUAAAAAAAUUUUACUCGAGAAAUGCCUUUUUCAGUCAAAUUAUGGUGUCGCCAUUUUAAGUACAACCAAAAAAGGAAAUCUAAAUGAAGAAAUGACUUUAGAAAGAAGCAUUUCUACAGAAGUUUAAAAGAGAAAAAAGCAAAUUUAAUAGAGCUUGAAGAAGGAUAUCAAUGGAAGGACUCCCCUAGAUGGAUCUUGACGCUGGGAUGAGGAAGAAGCUCUUAAUGCACGUUAGCUAUGCUUUCUUUUCUUUUUC
rnacentral:lncRNA from 1 species